AUGCAUAGGGGGCUGUUGCCCCCCCCCCCACCCCACACACACACACACAAUUUGGAAAGAUUGCCGGCGCUCCCCGGCGGCGCGGAGGAGUACGUGCGCGGCUCCAUCGAGGCCGCCCUCGGCCUCCCCGUGCCGGACCGCUCUAUCCGCGCCAAGCUCGCGGCCUACGAGGACCUGCGCCGCCGCCUCCAGGACCGCGUCUUCGCGCUCGAGGAGGACCUCCACGCCGCCGCCCGCCGCAUCGACCUCCUCAAGAACGAGUCGGCGAUGAACGCGGAGGGGAUCCGGCGCUGCGUGGAGGAGAAGGAGGCCGUGGCGGCCGCGCGCGAUCAGCUCGCCGCCCACGCCGCCAGGCUCGAGAAGGAGUGCGGGCUCUACGAGCGCGACCUCGAGCGCGCCAUGGAGUCCUGCGACGAGCUCGCCAGGGAGAGCGACGACCUGCGCAACCGCCUCCGUGACGCCCCCGACGCGCAGCUUACUGAACAAGUCCAAGCGCUGCAGAGGGACAAGGAGAUACUCAAGACCAACCUGAACAAAGCAGAGGAGGAGGUUAAGUUGCUGUUUGAGGAGAACAGAGCCCUCGACGAAGCAAACAAGAGGCUGCUGUGCUUGCUGGAGAAGGAGCAGAAGCAUCGGUCCGAAAGAAAGCACUCCGCCAGUAAUUCCACCAAGCAGAAACGCAAGUCGUCGAGCCUGAAGGACACGAGCCCGGUCAGCCUGGCCAUCGAUUUCAACAGUGCGGACGCGUCGAGGCAGCCCCUGUUGCCCUUGCAGCCAAACUCUCCGGACUGCAGGGUGCAUAAGAAGUGA
rnacentral:rRNA from 1 species